CCUACGGGAGGCAGCAGUGGGGAAUUUUGGACAAUGGGGGCAACCCUGAUCCAGCCAUUCCGCGUGAGUGAAGAAGGCCUUCGGGUUGUAAAGCUCUUUCGCGAGGGAAGAAAACUUAUGAUCUAAUAAAUCAUGAGGUUGACGGUACCUUGAUAAGAAGCACCGGCUAACUACGUGCCAGCAGCCGCGGUAAUACGUAGGGUGCGAGCGUUAAUCGGAAUUACUGGGCGUAAAGCGUGCGCAGGCGGUUUUGUAAGUCGGAUGUGAAAUCCCCGGGCUCAACCUGGGAACUGCGUUCGAAACUGCAAGGCUAGAGUGUGUCAGAGGGGGGUAGAAUUCCACGUGUAGCAGUGAAAUGCGUAGAGAUGUGGAGGAAUACCAAUGGCGAAGGCAGCCCCCUGGGAUAACACUGACGCUCAUGCACGAAAGCGUGGGGAGCAAACAGGAUUAGAUACCCUGGUAGUCCACGCCCUAAACGAUGUCAACUAGUUGUUGGUAGAGUAAAAUCUAUGAGUAACGUAGCUAACGCGUGAAGUUGACCGCCUGGGGAGUACGGUCGCAAGAUUAAAACUUAAUGAAUUGACGG
rnacentral:rRNA from 1 species